GAGUUUGAUCCUGGCUCAGAACGAACGCUGGCGGCAGGCCUAACACAUGCAAGUCGAGCGAGGUAGCAAUACCUAGCGGCGGACGGGUGAGUAACGCGUGGGAACGUACCCUUUGCUACGGAAUAGCCUCGGGAAACUGGGAGUAAUACCGUAUGUGCCCUUCGGGGGAAAGAUUUAUCGGCAAAGGAUCGGCCCGCGUUGGAUUAGGUAGUUGGUGGGGUAAUGGCCUACCAAGCCUACGAUCCAUAGCUGGUUUGAGAGGAUGAUCAGCCACACUGGGACUGAGACACGGCCCAGACUCCUACGGGAGGCAGCAGUGGGGAAUCUUAGACAAUGGGCGCAAGCCUGAUCUAGCCAUGCCGCGUGAGUGACGAAGGCCUUAGGGUUGUAAAGCUCUUUCAGCUGGGAAGAUAAUGACGGUACCAGCAGAAGAAGCCCCGGCUAACUCCGUG
rnacentral:rRNA from 1 species